AUAAUAAAAAACAACAGCGGACUGAUUGUCCGCAAUAAAUGAAUCAGAGAGCCCAAAAGGGCGGCAAACAUUCCUCCAGGAGUGAAUAAGACAUGAUGAUGAUGAUGAUGAUACAUAUACAUAAUACUUUUAUGUCAGCUUUGCACUGUCAGCAGUUUGUACACCACAUGCUUGAUCCAGUAACGCUUUUUGUGUCAUAUAACAUUUGUUGAUAUAAAAGCAGAACAUGUGAGAUUUGGCACACUUAAUAAUAAACUCGAUACCAGUAAUCUGAGUUACGGGGCAUCCGAUAAGCGUGUCAUGUAAAUCGCGGUAUAUCAUCAAUUAAACACUAGAUUCAGCAUAACUGUAAUCGUCAAUAGUAAGUCACGAAUAAAUAUGUAAUAAAUAAAUGUAUGUGUAUCCUGAAUCUCCACAUCGGCUACCCCAGUUAAGGGCUACCCCCAGUUCCAUCAUAGAAGUGAUGGAACCGGUGAUCGCGGAUUUUUAUGCAACCUUCACAAAUAAUUUAAAUAUUACAAAACCCCUCUGGUUACGCCUAUGCUAGCUGUUAUAAGAUAGUUGGUUCGUUCGCAAAACGGUUCUGUUUUAGGAAUGUCUUAGAACGUAGAAAUGCGUGUGCUGCUAUCUUUUUCUAUCCCACAGUCUUUGUAUAGUUUCUUGUCACGUGACUAAAUCAACAGUGGUUCCGUCUUUCGAUGUGUCGUUUUGGAUUAUGGCUCGAAUGACAAUAAGAGACGGAUGAAUGAUAUCCGGCUGUCAAUUAAUUGGGUUGUCUUGACAGUGUUCGGCCAUGGCAAAAUAAGAGUAAUUUUACAAAUCCGAUUUCAUCAACAAUAAUUUAACUGCGUUUUAUGAAAAACCCUCGUCUUAAAGUGCUUGCACCGGUGACGGAUUUGAGGCUGAAUAUUUUGGUGUGCUGAUGACUUUUAUUUAGUUGCUUGACAUAACCUCAACGGACACGAUUUCCCACUAUGGUCGGCGUGUGAGGAGAGGCACCGUACCAAACUUCUCUUGUGGCCACCUAACACCACAGGCCAAUUUCGUGAGGACACACCUUGGGGACUCGUGGCUGUCCUAACACCCAAUACAAAUAACUAGUAGCUAGCCUAGUGUAACCAGAGCCACCACCACUGGAACGCGCACCUACUAGACCAGUAAGCAAGAACAGAGACCUAUAAGUCGGUAUCAAUGACCAUAUAACCUUUAUUUUAUAUAUAUACCAUAACAUAUCCUAUACUGUGUCUAUACCUACCACUUUGUUCAGAUCUAAGUCCUUCCUGUUACCCUUAUUGUACACCUGAAUAUAGCGCUAUAAGAGGGUAUUAAUUUUAACAGAGUAAUUACAGGGUAAUUAAUAUUUAAUUGUACUUAGUUUAUUCCACAGGUAGACACGAAGUAGGUAUUUCAGGGUAUACAUUAAUAACAAUAUUAGUAUGGUUACGGUACCUACAUAUCUGAUUCUUGCUGAACGUAGGUACUUUUGACUCUUCAGCGUGUAGUUUGCUAAUCAAUUAUAGUAUUGUAUAUUCAUCUUUUCUAUAUUGCAAGGUAUUAACGGUAUAUGUUUGUAAUAAGUUAGGUCUUUUAAGUCUUAACAA
rnacentral:lncRNA from 1 species